rnacentral:rRNA from 1 species
GACGAACGCUGGCGGCGUGCUUAACACAUGCAAGUCGAACGGAAAGGCCCUGCUUUUGUGGGGUGCUCGAGUGGCGAACGGGUGAGUAACACGUGAGUAACCUGCCCUUGACUUUGGGAUAACUUCAGGAAACUGGGGCUAAUACCGGAUAGGAGCUCCUGCUGCAUGGUGGGGGUUGGAAAGUUUCGGCGGUUGUGGAUGGACUCGCGGCUUUUCAGCUUGUUGGUGGGGUAGUGGCUUACCAAGGCUUUGACGGGUAGCCGGCCUGAGAGGGUGACCGGCCACAUUGGGACUGAGAUACGGCCCAGACUCCUACGGGAGGCAGCAGUGGGGAAUAUUGCACAAUGGGCGGAAGCCUGAUGCAGCAACGCCGCGUGCGGGAUGACGGCCUUCGGGUUGUAAACCGCUUUCGCCUGUGACGAAGCGUGAGUGACGGUAAUGGGUAAAGAAGCACCGGCUAACUACGUG